rnacentral:rRNA from 1 species
GAUGAACGCUGACAGAAUGCUUAACACAUGCAAGUCUUUGGCGAAGCUGUGCUUGCACCGCCUAGCCAAGGCGGACGGGUGAGUAACGCGUAAGGAACUUGCCCUGCAGUCAGGGAUAACAGACGGAAACGACUGAUAAGACCUGGUAAAGUCAGGCGGACUCAUGUCCAGCCUGAUGAAAAGAGAUGCUGCAGGAGAGCCUUGCGUCCUAUUAGCUUGUUGGUGGGGUAAUGGCCCACCAAGGCGAUGAUAGGUAGCCGGCCUGAGAGGGUGGACGGCCACAAGGGGACUGAGAUACGGCCCUUACUCCUACGGGAGGCAGCAGUGGGGAAUAUUGGACAAUGGGGGCAACCCUGAUCCAGCAAUUCUGUGUGCACGAUGAAGGUUUUCGGAUUGUAAAGUGCUUUCAGCAGGGAAGAAAAAAAUGACGGUACCUGCAGAAGAAGCGACGGCUAAAUACGUG